rnacentral:lncRNA from 1 species
AAAAGGUUUCAAAAUUAACAAUUUUAACGGUAGAUGCGAUGUGUUUGUGAGUUUAACGGUGUAAAACAAUUCAAAUCUGAUGAAUUUUUUAUAGAAAAUUAUUUUCACUAUUUAGAGUAAGUUCAGUACCUCUGAUCUUAAAUUCAAGUCUUUUUAACAAUUUUAACGGUAGAUGUGAUGCGUUUGUGAGUUUAACGGUGUAAAACAAUUCAAAUCUGAUGAAUUUUUUAUAGAAAAUUAUUUUCACUAUUUAGAGUAAGUUCAGUACCUCUAAUCUUAAAUUCAAGUCUUUUAUCAUCAUUGUUUAUUAGAUUUUUACUUUCAGCCGUUUAUUUUUAGACUACUCGUUUGAUAGGUAAAUGAUGCCAAAAAAUUAUGAAAUUUAGUUUCCAAAUACUUUCAAUGGUGUAGAUCAAGUCUAACGGAGCCGAUCGUCGAUUUAAAACCCGCAAUAUUGAAAACAACUUUAUAGUACGGAAGCUUUCGUGUUACCGAUAGUAUACUCAGCCUAAUUUUUUUUUUUAACCUCCUCAACUUGUAUAUUAUAUACACAACCAU